rnacentral:rRNA from 1 species
GCAGAGCACUCCUACGGGAGGCAGCAGUGGGGAAUAUUGCACAAUGGGCGCAAGCCUGAUGCAGCCAUGCCGCGUGUAUGAAGAAGGCCUUCGGGGUUGUAAAGUACUUUCAGCAGUGAGGAAGGUGGAUAUGUUAAUAGCAUAUUCAUUUGACGUUAGCUGCAGAAGAAGCACCGGCUAACUCCGUGCCAGCAGCCGCGGUAAUACGGAGGGUGCGAGCGUUAAUCGGAAUUACUGGGCGUAAAGCGCAUGCAGGUGGUUUGUUAAGUCAGAUGUGAAAGCCCCGGGCUCAACCUGGGAAUUGCAUCUGAUACUGGGUAUCUAGAGUAUGGUAGAGGAUAGUGGAAUUUCUGGUGUAGCGGUGAAAUGCGUAGAUAUCAGAAGGAACAUCAGUGGCGAAGGCGACUGUCUGGGCCAAUACUGACGCUGAGGUACGAAAGCGUGGGUAGCGAACAGGAUUAGAUACCCUGGUAG